rnacentral:rRNA from 1 species
UACGUAGGGGGCAAGCGUUGUCCGGAAUCAUUGGGCGUAAAGAGCGUGUAGGCGGCCCGAUAAGUCCGCCGUGAAAGUCCAGGGCUCAACCCUGGAAUGCCGGUGGAAACUGUCGGGCUGGAGUCCGGAAGAGGCGAGUGGAAUUCCUGGGUGUAGCGGUGAAAUGCGCAGAUAUCAGGAGGAACACCAAUGGCGAAGGCAGCUCGCUGGGACGGUACUGACGCUGAGACGCGAAAGCGUGGGGAGCAAACAGG